rnacentral:rRNA from 1 species
CGCGUAGGCGGUUUAGUAAGUCGGAUGUGAAAUCCCCGGGCUUAACCUGGGAACUGCAUUCGAUACUGCUUGACUAGAGUAUGGUAGAGGGAAGUGGAAUUCCGGGUGUAGCGGCGAAAUGCGUAGAUAUCCGGAGGAACACCAGUGGCGAAGGCGACUUCCUGGGCCAAUACUGACGCUGAGGUGCGAAAGCGUGGGGAGCAAACA